rnacentral:rRNA from 1 species
CCGGCGACCGGCGCACGGGUGAGUAACACGUAUGCGACCUGCCCCCCGCAGGGGGAUAACCGGGAGAAAUCCCGACUAAUACCGCGUAACGCCGCGGACCUGCAUGGGUCUGCGGCCAAAGGAAGCGAUUCCGGCGGGGGAUGGACAUGCGGCGCAUUAGCUAGUCGGCGGGGUAACGGCCCACCGAGGCGACGAUGCGUAGGGGUUCUGAGAGGAAGGUCCCCCACACUGGUACUGAGACACGGACCAGACUCCUACGGAAGGCAGCAG